rfam:Pteropus alecto contig104268, whole genome shotgun sequence.
CCAAAGGCCCUUCUCAGGGCCACCCACCUGGUCACGCGAAGGGCUGU